rnacentral:rRNA from 1 species
GACGAACGCUGGCGGCGUGCCUAAUACAUGCCAGUAGAACGCACAGUUUAUACCGUAGCUUGCUACACCAUAAACUGUGAGUUGCGAACGGGUGAGUAACGCGUAGGUAACCUGCCUGGUAGCGGGGGAUAACUAUUGGAAACGAUAGCUAAUACCGCAUAAUAUUAAUUAUUGCAUGAUAAUUGAUUGAAAGAUGCAAUUGCAUCACUACCAGAUGGACCUGCGUUGUAUUAGCUAGUAGGUGAGGUAACGGCUCACCUAGGCGACGAUACAUAGCCGACCUGAGAGGGUGAUCGGCCACACUGGGACUGAGACACGGCCCAGACUCCUACGGGAGGCAGCAGUAGGGAAUCUUCGGCAAUGGACGAAAGUCUGACCGAGCAACGCCGCGUGAGUGAAGAAGGUUUUCGGAUCGUAAAGCUCUGUUGUAAGAGAAGAACGGGUGUGAGAGUGGAAAGUUCACACUGUGACGGUAUCUUACCAGAAAGGGACGGCUAACUACGUA